rnacentral:rRNA from 1 species
CCUACGGGUGGCAGCAGUGAGGAAUAUUGGUCAAUGGGCGGGAGCCUGAACCAGCCAAGUCGCGUGAAGGACGACUGUCCUAUGGGUUGUAAACCUCUUUUAUCAAGGAACAAAGUCACCCACGUGUGGCCUUUUGAGUGUACCCUAUGAAAAAGCAUCGGCUAACUCCGUGCCAGCAGCCGCGGUAAUACGGAGGAUGCGAGCGUUAUCCGGAUUUAUUGGGUUUAAAGGGUGCGUAGGCGGGGUAAUAAGUCAGUUGUGAAAGUCUGUGGCUUAACCAUAGAAUUGCAUUUGAAACUGGCAGUCUGGAGUGCGGGUGAGGUAGGCGGAAUUCGUGGUGUAGCGGUAAAAUCCGUAGAGAUCAAGAGGAACACUGAUUGCGAAGGCGACUUGCUGAAAUACCACUGACAUUGAUGCACGAAAGUGUGGGGAGCAAACAGGAUUAGAUACCCCAGUAGUC